rnacentral:lncRNA from 1 species
CCCCCCCCCCCCCCCCCCCCCCCCCCCCCCCCCCNNNNNNNNNNNNNNNNNNNNNNNNNNNNNNNNNNNAGGCGCUUCCCGGCGCUUCCCGGCGCUUCCCGGCGCUUCCCGGCGCUUCCCGGCGCUUCCCGGCGCUUCCCGGCGCUUCCCGGCGCUUCCCGGCGCUUCCCGGCGCUUCCCGGCGCUUCCCGGCGCUUCCCGGCGCUUCCCGGCGCUUCCCGGCGCUUCCCGGCGCUUCCCGGCGCUUCCCGGCGCUUCCCGGCGCUUCCCGGCGCUUCCCGGCGCUUCCCGGCGCUUCCCGGCGCUUCCCGGCGCUUCCCGGCGCUUCCCGGCGCUUCCCGGCGCUUCCCGGCGCUUCCCGGCGCUUCCCGGCGCUUCCCGGCGCUUCCCGGCGCUUCCCGGCGCUUCCCGGCGCUUCCCGGCGCUUCCCGGCGCUUCCCGGAGCAUCCCGGAGCAUCCCGGAGCAUCCCGGAGCAUCCCGGAGCGGCGAGUGCGGGUGGCGCUGCCCGGGUCACCCCUCGGUGCUGUGCUGCCCCCGGGGCUCUGCUCCACCUCCUGUCACCCCGGGGUGCUGUGCUCUACCUUGUGUCACCCCGGGGUGCUGUGCUGCCCCCGGGGCUGUGCUCCACCUCCUCCCCAUGGGGAGCAGGAGAGGAGCAUGAACACCGCAGUGGAGAUGGUGCUUUGUGCUGCGUCUUUGUGAGUUGGGGCUUCUGGUGCCCCUUCUCCUGCCGGGUGCAGCUCCGGGCUCUGCUCGCUGCUGCGGGGUCCCUGCGGCCUCGUCCUGCGCCCCAAACGGGCAGGGAUGGGGGUCCGGGGGCAGCUUUGGCCGCUCCCGCACGGAUUCCGCUCGCAGUGCUGAGCCCGAGGUGCCCGAGCCCCUCUGCGGGCAUCGCCCCGGCCAGGGGCUGCUUCUGCAGGCAGGCUGCGGGGCGCGUUUGUGCAGGGGGGAAAACGGAGACCAGAAAAUUAAUAUAGAUGUGCUCCUGCGCUCUGGAAGUGGAUGGGGAUCACCACAGCACCGUACGAUUCAUUAAAAAUAUAAUUCUGAUGCACUGUAAUUAAAAAAAAAAUUGUUUGCAAACCAGGUGGGGAU